GUGAACUCCAAGAAGAAAUUAGGAGAUUGCAGGCAGAAAUGGGGAAACACCUUGACAAUAUCAGUGAACUCCAUGAAGAAAUUAGGGCACAUCUUGAAAAUAUUAGUGAACUGAAUGAAAAAAUUAGUGGACUUCAAAGAGAACUUG